GGCAGUUUGGCUUAAAUGGUAAAGCAUUCUAACCGGAUAUUAGAGGGAUGUGAGUUCGAUCCUCAUGGCUGGCU
rfam:Octopus bimaculoides Scaffold13469_contig_30, whole genome shotgun sequence.